rnacentral:rRNA from 1 species
GUAGGUGGCAAGCGUUGUCCGGAAUUAUUGGGCGUAAAGCGCGCGCAGGCGGUUCUUUAAGUCUGAUGUGAAAGCCCACGGGCUCAACCGUGGAGGGUCAUUGGAAACUGGAGAACUUGAGUACAGAAGAGGAAAGCGGAAUUCCACGUGUAGGGUGAAAUGCGUAGAGAUGUGGAGGAGCACCAGUGGCGAAGGCGGCUUUCUGGUCUGUAACUGACGCUGAGGCGCGAAAGCGUGGGGAGCAAACAGGAUUAGAUACCCUGGUAGUCCACGCCGUAAACGAUGAGUGCUAAGUGUUAGGGGGUUUCCGCCCCUUAGUGCUGCAGCUAACGCAUUAAGCACUCCGCUUGGGGAGUACGGCCGCAAGGCUG